GACGAACGCUGGCGGCGUGCUUAACACAUGCAAGUGGAGCGACGAACCAGGGCUUGCCCUGGGGCAGAGCCGCGAACGGGUGAGUAACACGUGGGUAACCUACCCCGAUGACCGGGACAACCCGAGGAAACUCGGGCUAAUACCGGAUGUUGUCGUUUUCUCUAAGGAAACCGACUAAAGAUAGCUUCGGCCUUCGCAUCGGGACGGGCCCGCGGCCCAUUAGCUUGUUGGUGGGGUAACGGCCUACCAAGGCGACGAUGGGUAGCUGGUCUGAGAGGACGAUCAGCCAAACUGGGACUGAGACACGGCCCAGACUCCUACGGGAGGCAGCAGUGGGGAAUCUUGCGCAAUGGGCGAAAGCCUGACGCAGCAACGCCGCGUGGGGGAAGAAGGCCUUCGGGUUGUAAACCCCUUUCAGUUGGGACGAAGCUUCCAGAGUUAAUAGCUUUGUGGAGUGACGGUACCUUCAGAAGAAGCCCCGGCUAACUACGUGCCAGCAGCCGCAGUAAUAC
rnacentral:rRNA from 1 species